rnacentral:lncRNA from 1 species
GAUGGCCUCCGCAACAUCUGUUUGAAAACCUCAAACAAAGGAGAGUCCACCGCCUUCUGCGGUAACCCAUUCCACUUUUGAACAGCUCUUACCAUCAGAAAGUUCUUCCUAAGGUUUAGUUGGAAUUUCCUUUCUUUGAAUUUGAAUCCAUUGGUUCAGGUCCUUCCCCUCUGGAGCAGCAGGAAAUAAGCUUGUUCCAUCCACUUGACAGCCCUUCAGAUAUCUGGAGAUGGCUAUUGGUAUCGCCUCUUUUCCAGGCUCUCAGUCUUUUCUCCAUUGAAUCUAAUAGACAUGGCCAACUUAAGCCCAUUCAUUUCAAUAGCUCCACUCCAAGUUAGUUGGCUGCCACCACAAAUCACCCAUCACCUCAAUUAAUGACAAACUUUUGGAAUGUUUUGUCCUUCCUUCUUGGGUCUAUCAUCUCCUUUUAGCCCUAAUCUAUCUAAAAAGUCGGCUAUAUCCCAGGAGGCGCCAGGCAGGCAUCAAUCGCCCGACUGAAGUCCAUGGAAACCAUGGGUGGUCACAGCAUUAGCUGGAUCUGCUUCUUCAUUCUGCUGACAAAGAAGCGCCUUCCAAAUCUCUGUGAUCUUCGCACAUUGUUGGAGACUGGGCUCGUGGGGGGUGGUGAAUCGCAAAACAAAGGCAGAGAAAAUCCAUGCCGUUGUAAUGGUAAUGAAUUAAUGGUAAAAAUAGAUUGGGACUGAGCUGACAACAGAAGGCUAGGAAAAGCAGCUUCCGGUCUGCACAGGCGAGGUAGGGAACAUCAGGCCUUGGAGGUGGUGGUGGGGUCUGUCUGACCCUCCAAACUUUCCCCUGGUCACAUCCCCUCUUCCCAAGUCACACCCCUCACAGACCCUCCUUUGCACCUUAAGCCAGUGUGGUGUAGUGGUUAAGAGCGAUACACUCGUAAUCUGGGGAACCAGGUUCGCUUCCCUGCUCCUCCACAUGCAGCUGCUGGGUGACCUUGGGUUGGUCACACUUCUUUGAAGUCUCUCAACCCCAUUCACCUUACAGAGUGUGUGUUGUGGGGGAGGAAGGGAAAGGAGAGUGUUAGCCGCUUUGAGACUCCUUAGGGUAGUGAUAAAGCGGGAUAUCAAAUCCAAACUCUUCUUCUUCUUCUUCUUCUUCUUCUUCUUCUUCUUCUUCUUCUGUGUUUUUGCUUGGAUGAAAUGUGACCUGGAACCCUGAGAUUGCCUCUUGCUUGUCUGGAUGGAGGGCAGGGGGCAGAGAAGGGUAAGCAAGUGUGUGUAGAAGUAAGCCUGCUGUUCAAAGGUAAAGAUUAUCUUCUCCACCUGUUUUAGCCUCCGGCCCUACCCAUUGCUGCCAUGUGGCCCCAGGAACGUUGAGCAGAAGGGAAUGCGGUCCUCAGGCUGGCAAAUCUCCACUCCAGGGCAACCACCAAAUAAGGCCCUUGACUGUGGGGCUGCUGUUCUGGCUAGUAGGUACACAUACCAUUGGACAUUUCACGAAUGAAAAUAGGGACAGUCUUUUACGUGUUGAGUGCCCCUUCUCUCUCAACCAGGGUGACUUCUUGAGGGCUUUUCCCCUGCUGAAGAUAUAUACCAUCUACUGGCGGCUGCCUGCUUUGUGGUAACCAUGGGAUAGAAAGAUGGCUCAAACAUUACAACUGAGAAUUGGAUGUAAUUUCUAGAACUCUGAAUACUACAGUGAUUAAAGGCCCAGGCUUGGCAGUGCCAUCUUUAUUUCAAGGAGCAAAUAAAGAUAUUUUGUUUAAGACAUAAAUAGUCCAUUUCCUGGUAGCAUCCCAGAUAAGAGAUUGGAUUCUCAUGGGGAAGUGAUCGUUGUUUUACUACGCAAAAUUGGUAUGGUAGUGUUUUGAAAGUUGCCCUUGUAGACAAUCUAACACAACAUUGCAGAGGAGUCAGAUGUGACAUUUCCAGAGGUAAGUUUCACAAUAACUGGCCUCUCUUCAUGAAUUUCAUAAAUUCCUUACCAGAAGGACCUAGACCACCUUCUGUUCACUUUUGUUUUUGGAGAGGC